GCCCUUCGUAUUACCGCGGCUGCUGGCACGGAGUUAGCCGGUGCUUCCUUUAGCGGUACCGUCAGUACCCGAUGGUAUUUGCAUCGAAUAGUUUCUUCCCACUUGACAGAGCUUUACAACCCAAAGGCCUUCUUCACUCACGCGGCGUUGCUGCGUCAGGGUUUCCCCCAUUGCGCAAAAUUCCUCACUGCUGCCUCCCGUAGGAGUCUGGACCGUGUUUCAGUUCCAAUGUGACUGGUCAUCCUCUCAGACCAGCUAACCAUCGCAGCCUUGGUAGGCCGUUACCCUACCAACAAGCUAAUGGUACGCGGGCUCCUCUCCAAGCAACAGCUUACAUGUAGAGGCCAUCUUUGAUUUUUGGAACAUGCGUUCCUAAAAUAUUAUCCGGUAUUAGCACGCCUUUCGGCGAGUUAUCCCGAUCUUGGAGGCAGAUUGCCCACGCGUUACUCACCCGUGCGCCACUUUACUAUCUCUAAGCAAGCUUAAAGAGUUCUCGUACGACUUGCAUGUGUUAGGCACGCCGCCAGCGUUCAUUCUGAGCCAUGAUCAAACUCAAGGGC
rnacentral:rRNA from 1 species